AUCAAUGGUGAGAGGAAGGUACAUUGGAUCUCGUGGGACAAGAUGUGUAUGUCGAAGAAGGAAGGUGGCCUGGGGUUUAGGGACCCGGAGGCUUUUAACCAAGCCAUGUUGGCCAAGCAAGCGUGGCGCCUGCAUCAAUACACAUCCUCCUUGUGUGCUCGUGUCUUGAAGGCCAGGUACUACCCGCAUUGUUCUGUUCUGAAUGCCACUUGCCCAGCAGCAGGCUCUUUCACUUUCAGAAGCAUCUUGCAUGGGCGUGAUCUUUUGCGGGAGGGAUCUAUUUGGCGGAUUGGGGAUGGGUCCUCUAUCAAUAUUCAUCAUAGUAACUGGAUACUGAGGGCUGGACACAUGCGGCCACUGGGCCAGCGGUAUGUUUAG
rnacentral:rRNA from 1 species